GAUGAACGCUGGCGGUAUGCUUAACACAUGCAAGUCGAACGGAUGUCUUCGGAAUUAGUGGCGGACGGGUGAGUAACGCGUGAGAAUCUAGCUUCAGGUUGGGGACAACAGUUGGAAACGACUGCUAAUACCGAAUAUGCCGAGAGGUGAAAGAUUUAUUGCCUGAAGAAGAGCUCGCGUCUGAUUAGCUAGUUGGUGGGGUAAAAGCUUACCAAGGCGACGAUCGGUAGCUGGUCUGAGAGGACGAUCAGCCACACUGGGACUGAGACACGGCCCAGACUCCUACGGGAGGCAGCAGUGGGGAAUUUUCCGCAAUGGGCGAAAGCCUGACGGAGCAAUACCGCGUGAGGGAAGAAGGCUCUUGGGUUGUAAACCUCUUUUCUUAGGGAAGAAAAAAAUGACGGUACCUAAGGAAUAAGCAUCGGCUAACUCCGUGCCAGCAGCCGCGGUAAUACGGAGGAUGCAAGCGUUAUCCGGAAUGAUUGGGCGUAAAGCGUCCGCAGGUGGCAAGUCAAGUUUGCGGUUAAAGGCUCUGGCUCAACCAGAGACAGGCCGUGAAAACUGACUAGCUAGAGUAUGGUAGGGGCAGAGGGAAUUCCCAGUGUAGCGGUGAAAUGCGUAGAGAUUGGGAAGAACACCGGUGGCGAAAGCGCUCUGCUAGGCCAAAACUGACACUGAGGGACGAAAGCUAGGGGAGCGAAUGGGAUUAGAUACCCCAGUAGUCCUAGCCGUAAACGAUGGAUACUAGGUGUAGCUUG
rnacentral:rRNA from 1 species